rnacentral:tRNA from 1 species
CGGGUGGUGUAGAGUACGGUUACUUCGCUUCGAGAGCGAGAGGUCGCGGGUUCGAAUCCCGUUCACCUUC